rnacentral:rRNA from 1 species
UGUCCUAUCUAUAUGACCUUGAACACACCCACUCUCAUCUGAUUUUGGAAGCCAAGCAGGAUCAGACCUCAUUAAUACCUGAAGGGGAGAUGAUGAGAGAA